GAUGAACGCUGGCGGCGUGCCUAAUACAUGCAAGUCGAGCGAACAGAUGAGGAGCUUGCUCCUCUGACGUUAGCGGCGGACGGGUGAGUAACACGUGGAUAACCUACCUAUAAGACUGGGAUAACUUCGGGAAACCGGAGCUAAUACCGGAUAAUAUAUUGAACCGCAUGGUUCAAUAGUGAAAGACGGUUUUGCUGUCACUUAUAGAUGGAUCCGCGCCGCAUUAGCUAGUUGGUAAGGUAACGGCUUACCAAGGCAACGAUGCGUAGCCGACCUGAGAGGGUGAUCGGCCACACUGGAACUGAGACACGGUCCAGACUCCUACGGGAGGCAGCAGUAGGGAAUCUUCCGCAAUGGGCGAAAGCCUGACAGUGCAACGCCGCGUGAGUGAUGAAGGUCUUCGGAUCGUAAAACUCUGUUAUUAGGGAAGAACAAAUGUGUAAGUAACUAUGCACGUCUUGACGGUACCUAAUCAGAAAGCCACGGCUAACUACGUG
rnacentral:rRNA from 1 species